GUUGUAUGGUUAAGUGACUAAGCGUACACGGUGGAUGCCUUGGCAGUCAGAGGCGAUGAAAGGCGUAAUAACUUGCGAUAAGCCCAGAUUAGGUAGUAAUAACCUUUUGAGUCUGGGAUUCCUGAAUGGGGAAACCCACUUACAUAAGUAAGUAUCCUGUUGUGAAUACAUAGCAACAGGAGGCAAACCGGGGGAACUGAAACAU
rnacentral:rRNA from 1 species